rnacentral:rRNA from 1 species
AAACUCAAAGGAAUUGACGGGACCCGCACAAGCAGCGGAGCGUGUGGUUUAAUUCGUUGCUACACGAAGAACCUUACCUGGGUUUGACAUAUAGGUUGUAGGGAACUGAAAAGGGACCGACCCUCGGGGAGCCUAUACAGGUGUUGCAUGGCUGUCGUCAGCUCGUGUCGUGAGAUGUUCGGUUAAGUCCGCUAACGAGCGCAACCCUCGCUGUGUGUUAUAUGUGUCACACAGGACUGCUGGUAUUAAGCCGGAGGAAGGUGGGACGACGUCAAGUCAGCAUGACCUUUAUAUCCAGGGCUACACACACGCUACAAUGGUCAGUACAAUGGGUUGCCAAGCCGCGAGGCGGAGCCAAUCCUAAAAAGCUGGCCUCAGUUCAGAUUGCAGUCUGAAACUCGACUGCAUGAAGUCGGAGUUGCUAGUAAACGCAGGUCAGCUAUACUGCGUUGAAUACGUUCCCGGGGCUU